rnacentral:misc_RNA from 1 species
GCGAGUAAGACCCUGCCCUAGUGGCUCGGUCAGUCCCAUCAUAUACACCUGUAUUCGUGAACUCGUGGUUCAGCUGGACGAUGAAAGCUUUGGCGACUAGCCGUCCGUCGGUUCCGCUCUUUAUACCCUUUAUGUGAAGUCAAUGGAAAUUAUGAUAAUCUAAUA